GAUGAACGCUGGCGGCGUGCCUAAUACAUGCAAGUCGAGCGAACGGACGAGAAGCUUGCUUCUCUGAUGUUAGCGGCGGACGGGUGAGUAACACGUGGAUAACCUACCUAUAAGACUGGGAUAACUUCGGGAAACCGGAGCUCAUACCGGACGAUAUUUUGAACCGCAUGGUUCAAAAGUGAAAGACGGUCUUGCUGUCACUUAUAGAUGGAUCCGCGCUGCAUUAGCUAGUUGGUAAGGUAACGGCUUACCAAGGCAACGAUGCAUAGCCGACCUGAGAGGGUGAUCGGCCACACUGGAACUGAGACACGGUCCAGACUCCUACGGGAGGCAGCAGUAGGGAAUCUUCCGCAAUGGGCGAAAGCCUGACGGAGCAACGCCGCGUGAGUGAUGAAGGUCUUCGGAUCGUAAAACUCUGUUAUUAGGGAAGAACAUAUGUGUAAGUAACUGUGCACAUCUUGACGGUACCUAAUCAGAAAGCCACGGCUAACUACGUG
rnacentral:rRNA from 1 species